rnacentral:rRNA from 1 species
CGGGGGACAGGGUGACAGGUGGUGCAUGGUUGUCGUCAGCUCGUGUCGUGAGAUGUUGGGUUAAGUCCCGCAACGAGCGCAACCCUCGACCUUAGUUGCCAGCAUUCAGUUGGGCACUCUAAGGUGACUGCCGGCUAAAAGUCGGAGGAAGGUGGGGAUGACGUCAAGUCCUCAUGGCCUUUAUGACCAGGGCUACACACGUACUACAAUGGCCGGUACAAAGGGCAGCCACUUAGCGAUAAGGAGCCAAUCCCGUAAAGCCGGUCUCAGUCCGGAUUGGAGUCUGCAACUCGACUCCAUGAAGUUGGAAUCGCUAGUAAUCGCAGAUCAGCACGCUGCGGUGAAUACGUUCCCGGGCCUU